rnacentral:lncRNA from 1 species
AUAUAAGGAGUAAAUCUGCCCAUUUUUUCACAUAGAAGUCCAAUGAAAACCUUGGCAUCACCAUUGGAUUUUAAUCUGACAUGUCAAAACAGACAAUUGCUUUAAUCUUGUCCUACUUGCAAUUUUGCAAUUUGAGAGUUGUUCUUCGCAAACUAAUUUCAAUCCUUACAAAUUAGUUGUUAAAUUUAGUCGUUGUCAACAUCAUCAUCUACUUGAAAUCACCUCCUUUAACUUUAAGCAUCAAUGGAGGAUUGUGAUAACUAUAUGUUACGUGGUAUAGACUAUAGAUCAUCUUCAGCCUCCUUUAAAAGUUUAAAUGCCACCUCACUUUGAGGAAAGAUGGUUACCUUCUAGAUAUUUAUGGAAGAAAAAGAUCAAGAAAAGAAUUUAAAUAAGAGAAAAGAAAAGAGGAGAGAUUGGAGGGGAACUUAGAAGGUUUAUUUUUGUUAUAAAGUUCAAAUGUGUAACACCAAUGGGCACCAACCAUGCAUGUAAAGGCCACUUGGACCUCAGUGUUGUCUAAAGACUCUAAACUAGAUGGAACCUCAAAAAUUGUCACACCGACAUAUCUCUCAUGCAUGCUGUCAUGCUUUUACACAAAUCUAAACUUCAUGACACAACUAAAAGUCUAAAACCUAAACAAGCCCUAGGUUACAACAUAUGCAAAUCACUAGCCAAAUGACACAUUGAUUAUGCUAAUUUCUCCCAUAUUCAACAUUCUCUACCACAUGGCCCUUAAGCUCAAAGAGAUUUAAAAGUAAACAGGCUCACAUGACAGUUGAGAGACAAGGAAUGAGGACUGAUGUAUUAAAUAAAAACAAUCCUCCAAGUUUGUUUGGCAAACUUGGAACAAAAUUCACAUACACAUUAUAAACAUAUGCCUAAAAAAACAACAGCUUAAUAAUUUACGCUCUGCAAACAAUACCAUUUUCAAUAAAAAGUAUAGUGAAACCGAAAGGAACUUGUCAAAUAGUCAGCAAAGAGACCACCAGAAUGGGACCGACAGAAGAAUAAACUAGAAGAACAUACCUCUUCAAGACAUAAGGGGUGCAUUCUUUGUUUUCCCCAAACUAGAGGUAACUUCUCAAACUGCAAAGAGAUAAAUGAAUCAUGAAAGAAAACUAAAAAUAAUCAGCUACCACACUGUAGUAAAGAAAAAAAAGAAAAAGAGCAUGAUUUGGAUCUAAACCAGCCAUGAAACCAAAAUGUUAAAAGUUAAAAUCAUAUUGAAGUACAAAACUGACAAAGAAGCUGCAGUAGAUACUAUAUACUAAGAAGCACGGAUACGGACAGAGGACAAAGACAUGACGACAUGCCAUUUUUAAAAAAAUUAGGACACAUGUAUUAUAUUUAUAUAUAUAUAUAUAUAUAUAUAUAUAUAUAUAUAUAUAUAUAUAUAUAUAUAUAUAUAUAUAUUCAAUUAACAUAAGUUUUUAUAGUAUUUAUACUUAAAUUUUAUAAACUCAGUAAUUUGAACAAAUAAAUAUCAGCAUACAAGUUAAAAUAAUUAAAAUCAUCUAAAUAAGUAUCCAAAAUAAAGGUUGAGGACAUCAAAUAAUAUUUAGCAAUCUCUAGACAUAAUUGAUAUAUGUUUCCUUGCGACAAUCUCCAGAUUUCUUUUCUUGUGAAGUAUAUGACCCUCACGUGAGGGCCACAUGAAUACAAAGUCGCAAACGAGUGUCCGACGCAUGUGUCCGUGUGUUUGACACGUGUCGGACAUGUACUCAUCCACCAAAAGCACGUGCCCGUGCUUCUUAGGCUAUAUACUUCAUAAACCUGAGGAUGCAUCUUAUCAAAUAUCCAAAAUCAUCAUCCACCUUUUCACCAAAGGGAAAAGCUCAUCUAGAUCCAACAAAGAGCGUGCCAUGGAACACCAUACUUACUAGGCCUUGGGAAGUACAAGGACCUUGCCUAGGUGUACUCCCAGGAUGCAGUUUUGAUUAGAUGGCUAAAAGUGAUUAACCUUGCUAUAGCAGCCUAUAAAUCCUGCAUGGACACCUUUGUGGGUGCCUGUUGUAGGAAGUCAACAGAAAACAAGGAGAACUCCACUGGGAUAUCAAGUCAAUGCAAAAAAUUGUUUUGGUGCACAACCUACGGGAAAUUGAAUAUAAGCCAGAUGAUGGUUCCCAGUGAUUGCAAAAGGAGCUCGGGCGCUCGC